CAGUGAGUACUUCCAUCUAUAGCAACUAUACUAAUCAAACUAACUCACAGUCAUCUGCUUUUAGAUUAACAGUGGAAAAACUCUGGCUAUAAAAUCCAGAGAAGACAUCUUGUAUCUACUACAUACCUCUGGCCAAAAGGCACUCCCACAACAGUAGCCGUUCAAAGAUGGACAAAGCUGCCCCUUGAUUUUCAAGAGAGACUAAAGUAUGAUGAAGCCAAAAAAAAAAAAAAGAAGAGAGAGAGAAAGAGAAAAAGGAAAGUCAACGAACAAACUUCCUUUUGGGUUCCUGGUGACUUCGUGCUCUCUCAGUUUUUCUCCCUUCAAAAUUCAACUUUCAGAAGAACGUAUGCAAGUAUAACUGUGCACUAUACAGUGAUGCUUUGUAAAUGUUCGUUCUUGCGUGAUAAUGCAGUGAUCCUCAGAACUGAUCUGCUUCCGUCAAGUAGAUUCCAGAGUCCAGGCCCCUGUACACGUUUUCAGGAAAGUGAAGGCACUUCUAUGCACACCAUACCUGAAACCUCUACACUAAAGAUAGAAGAAAAAAAAAUGUGUUAGUCCUAAGUCAUUAGG
rnacentral:lncRNA from 1 species